rnacentral:tRNA from 1 species
AUCCGGGUGGGCAAACUGGCAAAGCCGCCUGCUUGAGGGGCAGGAGAUUUUACGGGUUCGACCCCCGUCCCGGAUACCA